rnacentral:lncRNA from 1 species
GUUUGUUCGACCUCCACCGCACAUGGUGGUGGUUUGGUGUUAAGAUUUUCUGAUGGAAACCCUAGAUCCGGGCUGACACUGCCGCCAGAAAAGCCAACGCCACCCCAGAGACGAUCGUCCCCACCCCACACGAUUAUAUUCAUUACCCCAUUUUUCGUAUUCAUCUCCGGUUUGAAAGAGGUGUUCUUGAUAGAGACCAUUUGAAAGAGAUUAGAGGGAUGAUUUGGUGAAGUUCUUGGAUCGAAGUGCGGAGUUCUAGGAGAAUAGUUGCUGGAUGUUUGUAAACAUGAGCUGGGAUGUGGAUUCUUUGAGUUAGUGUGUUGGAUGCGAGAAGGUGAAGAUGAAGAAUAGGGGUUUCAGUUUCUGAACUGUCACGAUGAUCUGUAGAAACAGCUGGGUUGCAGAUCUGCAAAGGGUUAGGGGCGGUGGUGUGGCCGGAGUGGUGGUGGUGGCGGCAGGAUGAGGUGGUGAUGGCAAGAUGUGGUGUUUAGGGUUAGGAAAUUGGAAAGAUAAAAUGUAUAUGUAAUUUUUUU